rnacentral:lncRNA from 10 species
CUUUCUCCCUCCCUUUCAGAGGGGAGUGGUCAUCUACACUUAUAAAGCAAAGGUCUUAAGUUCCUUAUCAUAGGAAGAACAUUUUCUUUGACCUUUAGGUGCUUUUAUAUUCAUCUCAAAAACAAAAUUCUGAUCUCAGGACUUGGCGAACCACUGCCAAGAAAGAAAUUCUGAUCUCAGGACUUGGCAAACCACUGCUGAAACUUCACUUCUACACAGACAGGCUUUCCUUCCCAUAACUCCAGACCAGCUGAGCAAUUAUAAGGUGUUUGCAAAGAAGACAGCUCUAUGGCAAAAUGACGAUGUUCAUUCCCAGCACAAAGGAGAGUACAGGAAUGCAGCAGGGCCCAGGAAGCCCAAGCUCUUCUGAGACCUUGAGGAGAGGAAUAUACUCAAUUCAUAGACAGGUUUUCGAUAUGUUACCCAGGCUCGUCUUGAACUUCUGGGCUCAAGUGAUCCUCUUGCCUCAGCCUCCCAAAGU